rnacentral:rRNA from 1 species
AGAUUGAACGCUGGCGGCAUGCCUAACACAUGCAAGUCGAACGGGAGUAGCAAUACUCUAGUGGCGGACGGGUGAGGAAUACGUAGGAAUUUGCCCUUAAGUGGGGGAUAACCCGGGGAAACCCGGAUUAAUACCGCAUGACCUCGAAAGAGCAAAGUGGGGGAUCGCAAGACCUCACGCUUUUGGAGAAGCCUACGUCGGAUUAGCUAGUUGGUGAGGUAAUGGCUCACCAAGGCGACGAUCCGUAACUGGUCUGAGAGGAUGAUCAGUCACACUGGAACUGAGACACGGUCCAGACUCCUACGGGAGGCAGCAGUGGGGAAUAUUGGACAAUGGGCGCAAGCCUGAUCCAGCCAUGCCGCGUGUGUGAAGAAGGCCUUCGGGUUGUAAAGCACUUUUGUGGGUAAGAAAGCACUGGUUAAUACCUCGGUGUUCUGACGGUACCCAAAGAAUAAGACACCGGCUAACUUCGUGCCAGCAGCCGC